rnacentral:lncRNA from 1 species
CGGGGUGUGCAAGCCAGUUGCUUGUCUUUUGUACUGCUAACGCUAGCUGCUGUAGAGACCAGACCCAAGCUAGCUGUAGCUAGUUUAUGAGUACGUACGAUCGAUGGGUCAUGCACAGCACAGCAAAGCACACAGGUGUGUUAGCUCUACCUACGUACUGAUCCAAUCUAUGCAUCCAAUGCAGUGCAGUUAGUAUAGUACAGAGCCAGGCAAGAGCCACAGGUCCAGGUGACAUUUAGACUGGAGAGAUGAGAUGAGACUGGUACCUGCCCUCUUGUAUUCAUGCGUGUUUGCUUCGAUCGUUGUGGACCAUGGCCGGCCGUGCGUACGUUGGCACGUUGUUAGUCUACU